rnacentral:rRNA from 1 species
UGGUGACUAUAGCAAGGAGGUCACACCUGUUCCCAUGCCGAACACAGAAGUUAAGCUCCUUAGCGUCGAUGGUAGUCGAAAAGUCUUGGCGAAGUGAAAACGUUUGAAUC